GUCACUUACCAACCUUUUCGCUAAGAUCAAGUGUAGUAUCUGUUCUUACCAAUUUAAUAUCUCAUAUAUCCUUUAUCUGAGAACAUUAUAUUAAAUGGAUUUUUGGAGCUAGAGUAUGGAAUAGGAGCUUGCUCUGUCCACUCCAUGCCUCCAUCCAGUAUUGCAGUACUUCUGGGGACAGUGCAUUUAAA